rnacentral:tRNA from 2 species
GGUUCUGUAGUGAAGUUCAUGUUGAGUUGCAAGCUCAUUGAUGCACGUUGAAUAUGUGCCAGAAUCU